rnacentral:rRNA from 1 species
UGCGCGUGAAUAUUGGCACAAUGGGCGAAAGCCUGAUGCAGCAACGCCGCGUGAGCGAUGAAGGCCUUCGGGUCGUAAAGCUCUGUCCUCAAGGAAGAUAAUGACGGUACUUGAGGAGGAAGCCCCGGCUAACUACGUGCCAGCAGCCGCGGUAAUAAAAA